CCUACGGGAGGCAGCAGUGGGGAAUAUUGCACAAUGGGGGAAACCCUGAUGCAGCGACGCCGCGUGAGUGAAGAAGUAUUUCGGUAUGUAAAGCUCUAUCAGCAGGGAAGAAGAAAGACGGUACCUGACUAAGCAGCCCCGGCUAACUACGUGCCAGCAGCCGCGGUACUACGUAGGGGGCAAGCGUUAUCCGGAUUUACUGGGUGUAAAGGGAGCGUAGACGGCUGUGCAAGUCUGAAGUGAAAGCCCAGGGCUCAACCCUGGGACUGCUUUGGAAACUGUGGAGCUAGAGUGCGGGAGAGGUAAGUGGAAUGCCUAGUGUAGCGGUGAAAUGCGUAGAUAUUAGGAGGAACACCAGUGGCGAAGGCGGCUUACUGGACAGUAACUGACGUUGAGGCUCGAAAGCGUGGGGAGCAAACAGGAGUAGAUACCCGAGUAGUC
rnacentral:rRNA from 1 species